rnacentral:rRNA from 1 species
GGAGGAGACAGCAAUCGCGAUGGCUUCAGUAAUGGCGAAUGAACCAGAUUGACACGGUCUACCCGUAUCGUUGUUGGUCACCUGAUGCGGUGAGCACUGGGUGCACUCCGGGAUGCAAUGCUGGCAUGGGGAUGGCUGUCACGGCUGCACAGACCUACUAUGGCGCCGAUCCAGAGUCAGAGUGGCCUGGGAUGGUCCGCGAUACCUGGGCUACAGCCCUCCUGUCAAGAGGACUGGUCGGUGUUCUUAGCCAUGGUGUGCACACACGCCAGACCCUGGAGUAGAGCUGCUUGGGACUGUAGGUCAAACGGCCAGGCAUGUCCGUGGCAAGGCUGCAUACAGACAUGGGACCGAUAGCUAACAAGUAGACUGAUCGAAACGUGCAAAGGACUCUGCAAAGAGGGUUCAAAGUGCCUGAAGCUGCGGCAGGCGACCGGUGGUGGAUGCUUCCCUGACACAGAGGAUUGCGAUGCGGCCCCGGACCGUGAAGUGGCUGGCGAGACCAUCCGUGGCUCUCGCACAGGCAUUGGCGGUCGUGGGGCCCUUCCCGGCUUUUGGACAAGCGACCUCGGGUCUGGCCUGCGGCUGGCUGCAGAGCCCCACUCUCUGGUGGGAUCGAUUCGCAGUGGCAUUCUGGCAGAGGCACUCCGCCUGUCUGGACCUGGGGGCAUGCAUUUGGUCGCUGUGACCUAUGCCCCGACGGAGAAGAGGCUUCAUUGGCUGGGAUUCUGGAUGGCUUCCGGGCUUGGCUUUGCUCUUUGGUGCUCUGCUGUCCCGCCCGGAGCCGUAACCCAUGUCACGGAGCAUCAUCCUUCGAGAGGGCAAAUGUGGCAAGGCAGAAUGGCCCUGUGGGUGUCCGGUGUGCCCCUGUGUGGUGCACCGGAUGCAUGUGCCUACCAACCGCGCCGGGUGCAAUCAGUGGGAGAGCUAGUGGUGUGCAGGCCCUCCAGGUCUCUCAUCCCGGCUCUCGGUACCCCGGUUGGUGCACAGUGGUGCAAAGGUGUCAAGAGUGGCUUGGCAAGGCAGGGACAUCCCCUGCCCGUCUUGAAACACGGACCAAGGAGUCUAUCGGAGGCCGCAGGCAAUGCUGUGCGUGUAGUCAAAGCUGGUACGGAGCAACUGGUGGCGGGGCCCGCUGUGCCGCCGCCUUGGCCGGGUUUGGCCUCCGCGACCCGACCCAGGCGUGGCAUGCAGCAGUGGCCGCAGCUGCCGAUUCUCCCGAACGUUGCCUGGUUAAAGCGAACGGACCACUUUCUCCGCGGUGCUACUGUGUUUCACCGCGCCUUUGGGGACUCUGAAGAGCGUGUGGCCAUGCCUCUGGGGACUCUGCGCCGCGGUGCUGCCUCUUGGAUCCAUGCGGGAUCUAUGGUGCUGCGUGCCGCAUGUUUCUCCAUGGCGUGCAAUGGCAAACCGAUCUGAUGCAAGAGCUGCCGAGCCUGAAUCCAAUGGACACUGGUUCUGAGUGCGAGGUGUCCUCCAUGGGACCCGAAAGAUGGUGAACUAUACCUGGCUACGGCGAAGCCGUGGGAAACUGCGGUGGAGGCCGGUCGCAAUCCUGACGUGCAAAUCGUGUUGUCUGAGCGGGGCAUAGGGGUGAAAGGCCAAUCGAACCAUCUAGUAGCUGGUUUCCGCCCAAGUUUCCCUCAGGAUAGCUGGGGCUGGGAGUGUGUCCGAACUCGUCGAUCGUGAUGCGGCUUUUGUCCGGUAAAGCAAUGCAUGAGAGGCAUUCUGGGGAGUCUAUCAGUCCUCAACCUAUUCUCAAACUGUGAAUGGGCAAGCAUCGGAGGCACACUUCUCUGCAUCCGGCGUCUGUGUGUGGCGCGUCAAAGGCCAUCCCUGGCCGACGGCGUGCCCAACGCAGUCCGCUGUGCCUGAGUGUGUUUGAGAGAUGGUGGCAGCCUUCUGGCCUCAGCGGGGUGGGGCAUUCUGCCCGGGCAUCCGCUGAGGCCGCUGGGGCCCAACCCGGAACAGUGUGCAGCCCCAUGUGGGCCAUUACUGGUAAGCAGUGCUGGCGAUGCGGGAUGAUCCGAGAGCGCGGUUGCAGGGUUCAAGUGCUGGCUCAUACAUAGAAUCCACAAAGGAUGUUGUCCGCUAGAGAUAGCAGGGCGGUGGCCAUGAAGGUUGGAAUCCGCUUAGGAGUGUGUAACAACCCACCUGCCGAAGCGGGCAGCUUCGAAAAUGGAUGAUGCUCAAGCCAGAGGCGUUGUUUGACUUACACCGCGCCGCUGCUGUGGCAGCAGGGCAGGUGCAGCAGUGCGUAGGCGAGACGCAAGGGUUCGCGGUGCUGGCUCCGGGGUGACCCGGAGGGAAGUAUCCCUUGGUGCAGAUCUUGGUUGCAGUAGCGAGUAUUCUUUCUGGUGGCUCAUGCAGGCUCUCUCUUGCAGAGGCCUGCUGCUGGCCUGAGUGGUUGAGGACUGGAGUGGAGCAGGCUUCCAUACCAACAGCCGUUGAAUAUGGGUCAGUCGAUUGUAAGCCAGAUGGCAAUGCUCACGGAUACGGCAAAGGCUGCAAAGUUCGGGGCCUCUGGCUCCGGGUCGCCCGUCCCGCGGCUGGCGCCGUGCUGGUCCCCCACUGGGUGCCAUGGGGUGCGCGGCGCUGUGCCCUUCGGGUGAAGCUCGGUGCCAGGGCUCUGCCUUGCAGGAGUGGCGAACAGGCAGACGAAUCUAAUAUUCCGACACGCUGGUACCAGGGUCUUGGCUGAUGAUACUCAGAACGCUUUCUCGGAGAGAUUGCUGGGAAGGGCCAGUGGCAACGCUGGUGUUCUCAAGUCCGGUGCUGCGGGGCCGCGUCUCGGUGGCGCCCCUGUGGAGUUGUCUUUUCCAUCUGACAGCUGGAGUGUGUGGGCUAUCCACUGACAUGCUGCAUGGCGACAUAGCUCUCUGCUUGGCAAGAUGGUGCUGCAUUGGUACCAUUGGACUUACGCGUGCCCUGCUCUGAGGGUUUGGCCUCGGCCGACCCGGAAUGCGCCAUGCCUUUGGUGGCCACCGACUCCAUGGAACGCCCUGCGAAGUUGUGCAACAAAGCGUGAACCCUUGGUGACCAAACCGGGACAAGCCCCCAUCUGGGGGCUCUGAUCCGAUUGGAAUGGCUCCGUACCGAAUCACCGCAGCUGGUCUCUUCGGCUAGACGCCGCUGGUCAACAGUGCAAAUGCAGCUAAGGGAAAUCGGCAAACUGGUUGUGUACCUUCGGAAGAUGCGGUGGCUCCAAGGGCCAGGGUGUCAGGCCUGCCCGUCGGGAUUGCACGGAACCCUCCGGGGCUUGGUUGUCCUGUGCCAGGGCUGGCUUCCCAGCCGUCCUCUGGCCGUGGGCGUCCAGGCCCCACCUCAGCCGAAGGCCGCUUCUCCAGCGGGCGUGAUCCUUGUGCCUCGGAACGGCCAAGCACGCCCCGCCGCGGCUCUUGGGUGGAGGCACGGAGCUUUGGGUGUGCAAAGAAGAGAGGCUGUGCCUUCGGGUGCGGCCUGGCUUCAGUUCCCGUGGGCGGGGAGAUGGCCGACCUGAGACGUCGGCCCCAUCCGUGGCACCCACGUGUGGUCUACUCGGAACUGUGUACUACGCAGGGGAAUCUGACUGUUUAAUUGAAACACAGCUUUGCGAUGGGACCUGCUGGCUGGUUCCGCGAGGUGACUUCUGCCCAGUGCUCUGAUUGUCAAUGCAAAGAGAUUUAGCCAAGCGCGGGUAAACGGCGGGAGUAACUAUGACUCUCUUAAGGUAGCCAAAUGCCUCGUCGACUGAUUAUUGACGCGCAUGAAUGGAUCAACGAGAUUCCUGCUGUCCCUAGAUGCUGGCUGGUGAACCAACCGCCAAGGGAACGGGCUUGGCUGUUCCAGCGGGGAAAGAAGAGCCUGU